rnacentral:rRNA from 1 species
UGAGGAAUAUUGGUCAAUGGGCGCAAGCCUGAACCAGCCAUCCCGCGUGAAGGAAGAAUGCGCUAUGCGUUGUAAACUUCUUUUCCGGAGGAAUAAAAUGUUGUACGUGUACGACACUGAAGGUACUCCGGGAAUAAGCAUCGGCUAACUCCGUGCCAGCAGCCGCGGUAAUACGGAGGAUGCGAGCGUUAUCCGGAUUUAUUGGGUUUAAAGGGUGCGUAGGCGGAUUAAUAAGUCAGCGGUGAAAACCUUCAGCUUAACUGGAGACUUGCCAUUGAUACUGUUAGUCUUGAGUAUGGUUAAGGUAGGCGGAAUGUGUAAUGUAGCGGUGAAAUGCUUAGAUAUUACACAGAACACCAAUUGCGAAGGCAGCUUACUGAGCCACAACUGACGCUGAUGC